GAUGAAGAACGCAGCGAAAUGCGAUAAGAAAUGUGAAUUGCAGAAUUCAGUGAAUCAUCGAAUCUUUGAACGCACAUUGCGCCCGCCAGUAUUCUGGCGGGCAUGCCUGUUCGAGCGUCAUUACAACCCUCAGGCCCCCGGGCCUGGCGUUGGGGAUCGGCGGAAGCCCCCUGCGGGCACAACGCCGUCCCCCAAAUACAGUGGCGGUCCCGCCGCAGCUUCCAUUGCGUAGUAGCUAACACCUCGCAACUGGAGAGCGGCGCGGCCACGCCGUAAAACACCCAACUUCUGAAUGUUGACCUCGAAUCAGGUAGGAAUACCCGCUGAACUUAAGCAUAUCAAUAAGCGGAGGA
rnacentral:misc_RNA from 1 species